AAGAGACAGCAGCAGCCGCGGUAAUACGUAGGUGGCGAGCGUUGUCCGGAAUUAUUGGGCGUAAAGGGAGCGCAGGCGGACAUAUAAGUCCAUCUUAAAAGUGCGGGGCUCAACCCCGUGAGGGGAUGGAAACUGUAUGCCUUGAGUGCAGGAGAGGAAAGCGGAAUUCCCAGUGUAGCGGUGAAAUGCGUAGAUAUUGGGAGGAACACCAGUGGCGAAGGCGGCUUUCUGGACUGCAACUGACGCUGAGGCUCGAAAGCCAGGGGAGCGAACGGGAUUAGAGACCCCAGUAGUCCCUGUCUCUUAUACA
rnacentral:rRNA from 1 species